UGAGGGAAUAUUUGGGUCAAUGGGCGAGAGCCUGAACCAGCCAAGUCGCGUGAGGGAAGACGGUCCUACGGAUUGUAAACCUCUUUUGUCGGGGAGUAAUAGGCGGGACGUGUCCUGCUGUGAGAGUACCCGAAGAAAAGCAUCGGCUAACUCCGUGCCAGCAGCCGCGGUAAUACGGAGGAUGCGAGCGUUAUCCGGAUUUAUUGGGUUUAAAGGGUGCGCAGGCGGCGUCGCCAAGUCAGCGGUCAAAGUUCCGGGCUCAACCCGGUGUCGCCGUUGAAACUGGCGUGCUCGAGUGCGUGCGAGGAAGGCGGAAUGCGUUGUGUAGCGGUGAAAUGCAUAGAUAUGACGCAGAACUCCGAUUGCGAAGGCAGCUUUCCAGCGCGCUACUGACGCUGAGGCACGAAAGC
rnacentral:rRNA from 1 species